rnacentral:tRNA from 4 species
GCGUCGUUAGCUCAGUUGGUAGAGCAGUUGACUUUUAAUCAAUUGGUCGCAGGUUCGAAUCCUGCACGACCCACCA